rnacentral:rRNA from 1 species
GACGAACGCUGGCGGCGUGCUUAACACAUGCAAGUCGAACGGAAAGGCCCUGCUUUUGUUGGUUGCUCGAUUGGCGAACGGGUGAGUAACACGUGAGUAACCUCCCCUUGACUUUGUGAUAACUUCAGGAAACUGGGGCUAAUACCGGAUAUAAGCUCCUGCUGCAUGUUGGGGGUUGGAAAGUUUCGGCUGUUGGGGAUGGACUCGCGGCUUAUCAGCUUGUUUGUGGGGUAGUGGCUUACCAAGGCUUUGACGGGUAGCCGGCCUGAGAGGGUGACCGGCGACAAGGGGACUGAGAGACGGACCAGACGCGUACGGGAGGCAGCAGGGGGGAAUAUUGCACAAUGGGCGGAAGUCUGAGGCAGAAACGCCGGGUGCGGAAUGACGGCCUUCGGGUUGUAAACCGAUUUCGCCGGUGACAAAGAGGGAGUGACGGUAAUGGGUAAAGAAGCAACGGCUAACUACGUG